rnacentral:lncRNA from 1 species
GGCAUACUGUAGAAUGAGCCCUGUACAUUCAAAUAGCAGAGUCGGCCCAGCCCAGAACAGCUCUGGAAAGGAAGACCUUGGCCUUGGCUGUGCCUCACUUAUGACAACAGAGCUGCCCCUCAUCAAAAAGAGGAAAAGGAGAGAAAAUCAGAAAUGCCUGGUCAAAAGCGAAGGUGGGGCAAGCAGACCUGAAGCUAGUCCUUGGGGUAAAUAGUGUUCCUGGAGUUGUGCAGUGGGCAAGUUCUGAGCCCACCUUUGCUGGGGAGGCUCUGGAGCGACAGGCACAGCGAUGGACCCAGGAUGUGAGCUUUCCAGCCUCCGAGCAACUUGGUAUCUGUAUGAGAAAACCCAGUCAGCCCUCAUCUCAGAUGCAGGUGCAACACAUAUGGCCGUCAAGCUGGGCAGACCUGAGUUUGAAUCCUGAGCCUACCGCUCGUUAACUGUUAGACCCUGAAAAAGUGCCUCAACCUCUCUUGAGCCUCCACUUUCCAUACCUGUCAUGUUUAUUUAACAAUACCUACC